UACGAAGGGGGCUAGGCGUUACUCGGAUUGACUGGGCGUAAAGGGCGCGUAGGCGGUUUGUACAGGUCAGACGUGAAAUUCCUGGGCUCAACCUGGGGGCUGCGUUUGAUACGUGCAGACUUGAGUUCGGAAGAGGGUCGUGGAAUUCCCAGUGUAGAGGUGAAAUUCGUAGAUAUUGGGAAGAACACCGGUGGCGAAGGCGGCGACCUGGUCCGAUACUGACGCUGAGGCGCGAAAGCGUGGGGAGCAAACAGG
rnacentral:rRNA from 1 species